UAUAUAUAUAUAUAUAUAUAUAUAUAUAUAUAACUAGCUCAUAGGAGGAAAGAGGUAGGAAAUUAAUCUGUUGCUCGGACGAUCAUUGGCACUAGAAAUGUGUUUAAGCCAGCUGCCAAACAAUCUCAUAAAUAUUAUUGGCAAAAGAAGCGGUCGAAGAAAUAGUCAUGAUGAGAAAGAAAGCAAAGGGUUAUUAGGGAAGGAGAUUGAUAGAUGGAAGAAGCAACAACAGGAGAUGAUGAUAACACAAGAACAAGAUCAACUUAAUUCUUCCAAUCCCACUCGAUGAUGAUAACACAAGAACAAGAUCAACUUAAUUCUUCCAAUCCCACUCAAUCAAUUGAAUGAUUCCUUCUAUUCUAUUCACUUCAAGAUUAAUUCUCCGAUCCUUCCAUUAUGUUAAACAUAUAUAUAUAUAUAUAUAUAUAUUUAUUUGCGGAUUUCUUUGAUCUUGUAAUUAAUUUAAGAAAUGCAUGGUUAUUUAACUCCCAAGCAAUCAAAACAUGGUGAUCAAUAUUUGUAUAUAUAAUUUCAUAUGUUUCUUAGCAUGG
rnacentral:lncRNA from 1 species